ACCAGACUCCUACGGGAGGCAGCAGUGGGGAAUAUUGGACAAUGGGGGGAACCCUGAUCCAGCGACGCCGCGUGAGUGAAGAAGUAUUUCGGUAUGUAAAGCUCUAUCAGCAGGGAAGAAAGAAAUGACGGUACCUGACUAAGAAGCCCCGGCUAACUACGUGCCAGCAGCCGCGGUAAUACGUAGGGGGCAAGCGUUAUCCGGAUUUACUGGGUGUAAAGGGAGCGCAGACGGCAGUGCAAGUCUGGAGUGAAAGCCCGGGGCCCAACCCCGGAACUGCUCUGGGAACUGUGCGGCUGGAGUGCGGGAGGGGCAGGCGGAAUUCCUGGUGUAGCGGUGAAAUGCGUAGAUAUCAGGAGGAACACCGGCGGCGAAGGCGGCCUGCUGGACCGCGACUGACGUUGAGGCUCGAAAGCGUGGGGAGCAAACAGGAUUAGAUACCCGGGUAAA
rnacentral:rRNA from 1 species